GCCGGGCACGGUGGUGCGUGCCUGUAGUCCCAACUACUAGGAAGGCUGAGGUGGGAGGAUCCCUUGAGCCCAGGAGUUCUGGGCUGCAGUGUGCUAUGCUGAUCGGGUGUCUGCACUAAGUUCAGCAUCAAUAUGGUGACCUCCCUGGAGUGGGGACCACCAGGUUGCUGAAGGAGGGGUGAACUGGCCCAGGUUGGAAACAGAGCAGGUCAAAACUCCCGUGCUGAUCAGUAGUGGGAUUGCGCCUGUGAAUAGCCACUGCACUCUAGCCUGGGCAAGAUAGCAAGACCCUGUCUCU
rnacentral:SRP_RNA from 1 species